rnacentral:lncRNA from 1 species
GAAAAUUUUAGUAAAUUAUAGUCAAUUUUUAUGCAAUGAAACUAUAUAGCUCUUUUUGUUAGAAAUUGUCUUACUAACUAAGCUGCUGGUGGUUCUGUGACGAAGUAGCUCCUGUUGGCUUCCCUUACACCGGGUCAGACACAGGACAUUAAUUAAGGCUGUGUGUGGUGUUUCUGAAAGGUGAGGAGACUGGGCAUUCUGUCUUUUACUCUACAGAUACAUCGUGGGAGACUCAAAGAUUAAAAUGUGGCCACUCACUGUGGAUCAGAAGCAGAAUCUCACAUCAUAACCCCAAAUGACCUGUUACUCACCAUGUGGCCCAGCUGUCUUCAAACUCACCAGCCUCCUGCCUUAGCCUUCUAAAUGCUUGGAUUACAGGCAUGACCCACCAUAACUGGCUUUGUUUUAGUUUCAGAGAAGAUGAAACUGAUGUGCGUCAAAAAGGUAAAUGUCACAUGACCCAUCUUAUGUUGAAUAAAACUAUUCUAUGAUUCAAUCUGUAUAAGCUUCAAAGAUAAAUUAACUAGCAGCACAUUUUUAUUAUUGUUUGUAUAGUAUGUUUGAUCAAAUUCCUUCCCCUCCCCAAACUCCCUCUAGAUCCUCCCCAUCUCUCUAUCCACCCAACUCUUUGUUCUUUAUCUCUCCCAAAAUAAAGAACAAAACAAGAAAAAACAACAACAAAAAAUGAAAGCAUGUGCGUGCAAGCACACCCCCCCAUACACACACAAACACACACACAAACAUACACACACACAUACACACACACACCACAUAAAGUCUAUUUUGUGUUGGCCAACCAUUUCUAUGCAUGAAGCCUGAUGCAUGAAGCCACAAAAAUUGGCUGAUAUACUCUCUCUCCCUGCACUGCUAUGAAAUAGCUCCUCUUUCCUGUAAUCUUCUCAUGAGAGUUGGGCAUCUCCUGUCUCUGACUCAGUCUGUCAAAUCUUUCUCUGACUCAUUACUUUGUCUGCCCCCCAUUUACACAUCAUUUUCAAACAUGGCUGUGUCCUUCUACAAAUUAAUUUUACCUUAAAGAUGUAUACAAGGGGCAUGUGUGUAUUCCAGCCAGAGGGAUUAAAAAUGUGUGGCAUGUUUACAUUCCAGCUGGAUCAAAAAGACCUAGGUCUUUGGAUGUGAUCCCUUGCCAGAGCAGCCAUGUUGCUGGAUUUAAAAUUUCUCUGCAGCUUUUGAAUGAGCAUAAGCCCAUGUGAAGCAGAGAAGAGUAUCAUGUGGAUAUUUGUAGUGAGUACAUUUAGUAAAGCAGAUGUGAGAUAAUACAAUGGUAAGAGAUGAAAUCAGAAAGGCAGUCUUCAAUGUGACCUCACUAAUACCUCUGACAAUCACAUGCUGUGCAGUGACCUAUGUACCUAAUAGUAUUAUAGAAAUAAUGGAGUAAGGUUUUCCAUGGGCAAUAUCAAGGAGACUUUUGUCUUGUUCACUGUUGAGUCACCAGCUCUGGGGAAAGUCAACUGUCAGCUGGGUAUGAUUAAGCAACCCAAAGGACGUGUCCAUUUGAUCAGAACUGAGGUCUCUUACCAGGAGCCAAAAGACCCUGCAGUGUCAGGCAACCUCAGAUGAUCAAGCACUUCAGGUUGACACCUUGGUUGCAAUUCAGCAGAUGACCUGAGUAACACCUAACUGGAGAAGGCUCUCCAAAACAUUUGUCUUGCAAAACUUGCACAAGCAGUGGGAAGUAAAAAAA